UGGGGUAUCGCCAAGCGGUAAGGCACCGGGUUUUGAUCCCGGCAUUCCAAGGUUCGAAUCCUUGUACCCCAGCCA
rnacentral:tRNA from 3 species